rnacentral:rRNA from 1 species
GACGAACCGUGCGAACGUUGUUCGGAAUCACUGGGCUUAAAGGGCGCGUAGGCGGGCGGUCAAGUCUGUGGUGAAAUCCUUCGGCUCAACCGGAGAAUAGCUGGAGAUACUGGCCGUCUCGAGGGGGGUAGGGGCAUGUGGAACUUCCGGUGGAGCGGUGAAAUGCGUAGAUAUCGGAAGGAACGCCGGUGGCGAAGGCGACGUGCUGGACCCUUUCUGACGCUGAGGCGCGAAAGCUAGGGGAGCAAACGGG